UGCAGAAUCCCGUGAACCAUCGAGUCUUUGAACGCAAGUUGCGCCCGAUGCCAUUAGGUUGAGGGCACGUCUGCCUGCGUGUCACAUAUCGAAACCUCCUGCCAAAUUCCUUUUGACAGGGUGGAUGUUGGCCUCCCGUGAGCUCUUUUGUCUCAUGGUUGGUUGAAAAUUGAGACCUUGGUAGGGUGUGCCAUGAUAAAUGGUGGUUGUGUGACCCACGAGACCAAUCAUGCGCUGCUCUAUUGAAUUUGGCCUCUUUUACCCAUAUGCGUAAUGCUCGUGAUGAGACCGCAGGUCAGGCGGGGCUACCCGCUGAAUUUAAGCAUAUCAAUAAGCGGAGGAAAAGAAACUAACAAGGAUUCCCUUAGUAACGGCGAGCGAACCGGGAUAAGCCCACCAUGAGAAUCGGUCGCCUUCGGCGUUCGA
rnacentral:rRNA from 1 species